rnacentral:rRNA from 1 species
GACAGAGGUGCCGAGCGUUAGGCGGAAUCACUGGGCUUAAAGCGUGUGUAGGCGGGUCCGUAAGUACCUUGUGAAAUCCCACGGCUCAACCGUGGAACUGCUCGGUAUACUGCGGGUCUUGAGCUGUCUAGGGGCGACCGGAACAAGCGGUGUAGCGGUGAAAUGCGUAGAGAUCGGGAGGAACACCAGAGGCGAAGGCGGCGACCUGGACAAGUACUGACACUCAACUACGAAAGCGUGGGGAGCAAACAGG